UCGGGAAUUUUGCCCAAUGGACGAAAGUCUGAGGCAGCAACUCCGCGUGAGGGACGAAGGCUCUCGGGUCGUAAACCUCUUUUCUCAGGGAAGAUCCAAGACGGUACCUGAGGAAUAAGCCACGGCUAACUACGUGCCAGCAGCCGCGGUAAUACGUAGGAGGCAAGCGUUGUCCGGAUUUACUGGGCGUAAAGAGCGCGCAGGCGGCUGGUCAAGUCCGACGUGAAAUCUCCCGGCUUAACUGGGAAACUGCUUCGGAAACUGAUCGGCUUGAAGGUGGGAGAGGGUAGUGGAAUUCCCGGUGUAGUGGUGAAAUGCGUAGAUAUCGGGAGGAACACCAGUGGCGAAGGCGACUACCUGGCCCAUUCUUGACGCUGAGGCGCGAAAGCUAGGGGAGCGAACG
rnacentral:rRNA from 1 species